rnacentral:rRNA from 1 species
CCAGAGAACUUAGCAGAGAUGCUUUGGUGCCUUCGGGAACUCUGAGACAGGUGCUGCAUGGCUGUCGUCAGCUCGUGUUGUGAAAUGUUGGGUUAAGUCCCCGCAACGAGCGCAACCCUUUAUCCUUUGUUGCCAGCGAUUCGGUCGGGAACUCAAAGGAGACUGCCGGUGAUAAACCGGAGGAAGGUGGGGAUGACGUCAAGUCAUCAUGGCCCUUACGGCCAGGGCUACACACGUGCUACAAUGGCGCAUACAAAGAGAAGCGACCUCGCGAGAGCAAGCGGACCUCAUAAAGUGCGUCGUAGUCCGGAUUGGAGUCUGCAACUCGACUCCAUGAAGUCGGAAUCGCUAGUAAUCGUAGAUCAGAAUGCUACGGUGAAUACGUUCCCGGGCCUUGUACACACCGCCCGUCACACCAUGGGAGUGGGUUGCAAAAGAAGUAGGUAGCUUAACCUUCGGGAGGGCGCUUACCACUUUGUGAUUCAUGACUGGGGUGAAGUCGUAACAAGGUAGGCGUAGAUGA